CUAUACACUUUCACCGCAUCCUGAAGAACCACUGGUUGAACUGUUCAUCUGAAGAACCACUGGUUGAACUGUUCAAAGCACUCCUUCGUUGCGACGUGAAAAGCAUGUGCAGACAUCGAAGAAUCACCCAAAACAGGGCUGCUGGCGCAAUGCCCACGCAACUGCAACCGAUACAAUAACGGGUGCGACACGUGACCAAAGCACAGACGCUCAUUGGCGCACAUGCCAGCUCGCAUCAGUUUCCGGCACUGCAUGACUUCGGACAUAGGACGCAGCUAAAAUGUCGCCCAUUCGGAUAACGUACUUCUUUCGCUUUUCUUCACUGCUGUCAGUGCAAGACAUUGCGCCUGGGACUGCGCCUGCUAAUGCGACCGCCAGUGCACUUUGUUUGACGAGACCAGAAGAGCAUCAUAUGAUCGUCAUUGUUCAUGACUUUUCAUGUGAAAGCUUAUAUUUUUUUUUUCAAAACUCAGUCGAAUUCUUUAAAAUAAACAUAGAUUGCAGCACUGUGUA